AGAAUGAACGCUGGCGGCGUGCUUUACACAUGCAAGUCGAGCGAGGCGGGGAGCAAUCCCCAGUCGAGCGGCGAACGGGUGAGUAACGCGUGGAUGACCUGCCCUGGGGUGGGGGAUAACUCGGGGAAACUCGAGCUAAUACCGCAUACGAUCGCGAGAUCAAAGGGGGCCGCAAGGCUCCCGCCGCAGGAGGGGUCCGCGUCCGAUUAGCUAGCUGGUGGGGUAAUGGCUCGACCAGGGCGACGAUCGGUAGCCGGCCUGAGAGGGUGAUCGGCCACACUGGAACUGAGACACGGUCCAGACUCCUACGGGAGCAGCAGUGGGAAUUUGCGUCAAGUGGGACGAAAGCCGUAGACGCAGCAACGCCGCGUGGAGGAUGAAGGUCCGUUAGGAUUAGUAAACUCCGUGUACGAGGACGGGAAAAGG
rnacentral:rRNA from 1 species